rnacentral:snRNA from 1 species
UCGAAUAUGACUUGUUGUCA